CUACAUUCACUAUACACACUCUGCACUCACUACAAAAACACUACAUUCACUAUACACACUGCACUCACUACAAACACUACAUUUAUUAUACACACUGCACUCACUACAAAUACACUACAUUCAUUACACACACUCUGCACUCACUAAAAACACACUGCAUUCAUUAUACACACUCUGCACUCACUACAAAUACACUACAAUUAUUAUUCACACUGCACUCACUACAAACACACUUCAUUUAUUAU